rnacentral:lncRNA from 10 species
GUUUACGAUGCCCUUCUAUGACAGGAUUAAUUGAUUCACACAUACAUUAAAACAAAAAUAACUAAACUGAAAUUUAGCUGGAAGCCUGGCUCCUCAUUUGUCAUAAACCCUGCUGUUGGUGAUAGCUGACAAAGACCCUAAUGCCGAACGGGGUUGAGGUUCCCUUCCUGACCUCACCUUUCUUUCUGAAUGGAAACAAGAGCCUUGGAAACAAACCAGAAUGCUUUAAGAUCUGCGAUGAUUAAGAACACCUGUGGCAACACCAAACAGAGCCCACAAACAUCGUGCUGAUGAGCAAGGACUAGGGAAGAAGAUGCUCAAGAAACAUCCAUGAAAACAACCAGGAGGGCUUUGAGAGAAUGCGGAGCUGGAGCUCGGAUCUUCCUUUCUGAAAAGCAUGAGAAAACCCAGAAGGCUCUGUCUUAAGAUAAAAAGACCAGGGACUUUCUAGGGGUCAUAAGGUUAACUUAUAACAGUCUUUGACAUCUGGAAAAUGAAAAGUAAACACCUGCAGUUCUCCAGUAGCAGCUAUAUGUUACAUGACAAAAAUGAGACACCAUGAGAUGCUAUUAAAAUAUUUUGCUUUUGUCCUUGUUCCUCUUAUUUGGGCAUUGCAUGAUUCUCGUAAUACAUGUCAGGGCUGGUAUAAGAAAGUGAAACUGUAGUGAACUCACAAAAACAAAUGAGAGAAGAACACAAAUACAAAGUACUGGACAUUGACAAGAGCUGAAGGGUAGAAGCUGUGAAGGGAUGAAUGAAAGACAGACAAAUGAUUGUCCAAGUACUUAUUGAGGCAAACAUUUGGUACAUAAUUUGUUUUUGAUACAACUGUAAUGAAUGUCAUUCUUCUCUAUGGAACAGCACGCCAAAUCUUUAGCACAUCGCUGCUUGGUGCCCAGUGGGCAGCAAAUGCCCAAUUGCCAAUGCCACUUUUUAGCGCAUGUUCAUCUGCAGGAUAUUAAACAGAUUGCCAUCCUUUUGAUGUUUGUGAAUACGAGUAGUAAAUACCAUAUGAUAUGACUCAAUGAAUUUGUUUCAGAAAAAAAUAAAAAGACAAAGACGAGAAUGGAGAAGGGAAAAGACGGAGACAAACAGGAGAAGGAGAAGGAAAUUUCCUUCUUUCUUUGAUAGGAAGGGAUGAACUGGCAAAUCUGAAAGGAAACAAAUGUUACGGAAGUUAGUAACAAGCUUUGUAUCUAGAAAAGAAUGAUACACCUGCCAGUUCACUUGCCAAUUUCUGGCACAUUUUGUGACUAAAGAAAUGAUUCCCCAGAGAAUCUGUAAACAAUUUUUUUUUCCGGGAAUAGAAAAUCAUGAGUGAACAGAGAAUUAUUUCAUUAUAGUUCAGAAUCUUCCAGAAUGUGUCUGCCUUAAUGGGCCAUAGAAUUUGUAUGCGUGUAUGAGUAUGUAAAUGUGCCCCAAAUUAUUCAUUGGUCAAGACAUUACUUAAGUUUCAUAAGAAGUCUAAUAAAUGGUUAUUAUUACCUUCACUUUCAUCUUUUAGAUAGUAGGUAUAGGUAGAUGUAGUCCAAGAAAAGCACUAUCAAUUGGGUGAAAUUAAAGGAACAUUAGAAAUCUAAAAACUUUUUUUCUAAUCUUUCUUUCAACAUGUUUUAAUGACAUCUAGUAAGUGACUUAAAAUUUUCACCUACUUCAUUGUAUUAGAUGAUGUUGGAUUAGACGGUCUCUUGAGCCUUACCUAACUACAACCUCUUCUUGCACAUGAAUGUAGUCUUGGAGUUUUCUUUGAGAAGACUAUUUUUGAGAAUACCAAACUCUACAGAACGAAUCCUAUUCCCCAGAUGAAUCAUCUCCUAAAUGCUAACGCUAUAACUUUUUUGGAUUGUGAAGAUGAUUUUCUUGUUAUUUUCCUCAAUGUUGUUAAUUAUAAAACCGAGCUAAUGGUAAAUAUCUAUGACCUAUUUGAAAUAGAAUGUGGAAGAAGUGACCAGUUGAUUCAGUGACGUGCACUUGAGGCCAGACAAACUUUUUCUCAGAGGAGAGAGAGAGCAGAGAGAGAGAGAAAGAGAGAGAGAGCGAGCGAGCAGAGAGAGAGCAGAGAGAGAGAGAGAGAGAACCUAAUUAAAGAUUCUUUCCCAGGUUGUCUAUUCAUCCCCUGCUCUGGUCACAUUGCUGAGGCCCACAAAGGUGGAAGCAGGGAGGUGCAAUUAAGCAUAUUGUCUACCUCUGUUUGGAGAAAAAUCUAAACAAAAUAGAGUUAUCAUUAUUUGUAGUUACUAGAACAUUUUUGUCCUGGUUUUGCUCAACUCUGUUUCAAAGCUACUGGUAUAGACAGUAUAGUGUUUCCUUACUAUUUUUGGCAUUAUAAAUAUUUUCCAAACUUGACUUUCCUAUGACACUUGAAAAACAUAUUCUAAUAACUGAAUAUAAGAAAGGUUUGUUAGUUUUUGUAACGGUAAACUGAAUUUCAUAGGUAGUUUAAUAUGAGAUUAACACUACAGUCUUACCACCUUCUGUUUUUUUUUCCCACCAAAGGUCAAGGCCUUCUCUUGUUUUCUUUUCUAAAAUAAAUCAUUUUGUUGAGGGCUGAUAUGAUAAUGAAGUAUAAUGUAUGCUAAACACAUAGAGAACAAGGAUCACAUGCAAUUUCUCCAAGCCUCGAAUAAAUUGAGCUGUAAAGGUUGUUGAUGGAAACGAUGGGGGCUAUUUAAAUAUUAAGUUUAUUAAGUUUAUUCAUUUUGUAUUGAUUGAAACAAUCAGAAUAUAGACAGACUAUAGAGCUGUCAUUUCAGUGGGAGGUUAAAGUAGGUGACUUACUGAGAUGGUAUUGUAUUUAUUCUAGACUUUGCUGGAAGAUUACCCUAGGGGAUCUUAUUAGUUCACAAGAUUUAAAAAAAGGCAUGAAAGCAAAUUUUCCAUAUAGAGCAGUCAUAGAGUUGGUACAUAAUUUCCCACCAAAAUGAGGAUUGUAUAAUGUAACAUUUAGACUCACGCAUUGAGAACGAGGGCUUACCAUGAGUGAAACAAUAGGUUCCUUGGUAGAUUAUGAAUAUUAAUAUCAAAAUGAUAAUAUAAGCACCAGACAUCACACACAAACAGAUAAUAAUUCAGAUUCUGAGUAGGGUGGGGAGGGGGAGAUGCUUAUCUCUCUCAGUGCAGUGUAUAUGGUUUCCAUUCCCAGAGCUCAGUUAGAAAUGAUCUAGCUGUUUAGUGCUGCUUCUACAUUUAUAUCACAUGAGGUGUUUUUAAUUAGAUUUAAUAAUACAUCUGUCUUCUCUUCGGAUACCUUUAACAUUUCUUUCCCUUCCUCACCUUGUUUCUCUUUUCUUCUUCUCCUCUCUCUCUCUUUCUCUUCCUGUCCUCCAACUUUUUCUCUCUCUCACUAUUCUUUCUUACUGUCCUCCUCCCCUCCCAGCCACAACUUAAAUUUACAAAAUGGCUUCUCGGAAAAUAGCAUCAGAAUUAGGUGCUUUUCUUUCUCCUGGUUAGUGUUCCAGCUCAUGCUCUCUCACUCGCACAUAUGCCUGACAUUAAAUGAUGACUUGCUGUUUCAUAACAUGCAUGCAGUGAGACCCCAUCAUCAUAAUUUCACCAUGUAGUUCUGCUUAGUGGCAAUAUAGAGAAAUUAUUAAUUAGAUAAUUUUAUAAUAAAAUACACAGAAGCUCCUUUAUAGCCUUGGGGUAAAGUAUUGUAAUUUACCAAUAUCCUAUGAGUUAAGUUAAGAAAAUGAGGCUUUUAAAGGCAAAGAUACCUAAAAAAGAUAAGCUGAUAAGCACAGGAAUGUGCAUAUGGAAGGAGUGAGAGUGAGAUGCUGAGUUUGAGGACUUUUAUUUCUGAUUUUCUUAUGACAUCUUUGUUUGUAACUCUUCAUAAGGUCCUUUGGAAUAGGUCCCAGAAGGAGAAUUAUGACCGGAUAGAAUGAAAUGAGAAAUUAAUUUGUUUUAAAUGAUUGUAGACAUUAUCAUGUACUUCUCCAGCCUAAUCACACAAAUGACUUCAAAUAGAGCUCACAGACCUGCUAGAGAGGAACUGGUACACCCCAUGCUAGCUCACUGCAGACUCAGUGAGGAUACAUCAGUAUGCAUAAUAAAGAGCAGAGAUUAAGCUACUUGAAUAAACUUUGGCUAUAUUCCUUAAGAGUUUGAAGAUAAUUUUCUCCUUUUAAAAAUAGUUUUACUGAGGUAUUAUUGACUGCAAAUAUUUAAAGUGUUUGAUUUGAUUAAUUUUGACAUAUGUAUUUAUCCUCCAAACCACCGCAAUAAUUACUAUAAUAAAUAUAUUAUUCACCCCCCAAAUUUUCUUCGUGCCCCUUUAAAAUCAUGCCUCCUAAGCCUUCCUGCCAGUUUCUCAUCACCCCUCUCCCAGCUCCCAGGCAGCUACUGAUCUGCUUUCUGACACUGUACAAUACUUUGAAUUUUCUAGAAUCUUCUAAGGACAGGAUCAUACUAUACUCUUUUCGUCUGGCUUAUUUCCUUUAAUUAUUUUGAAAUUCAACUAUGUUAUAGUGUUUAUCAAUAGUUCAUUUCUUUUUGUUACUAAAUAGUAUCCCAUUGUGUGGAUAUAUCAUAGUUUGUUUAUCUUUCUACCCGUUGGUGGCCAUUUGAGUUGUAAACAACUUUUGGCCAUAAUAAGUCCUGUGAACAAGUCUUUGUAUGGACAUAUGUUCUCAUUUCUCUUGGGUAAAUACCUAG